UACGGAGGGGGCUAGCGUUGUUCGGAAUUACUGGGCGUAAAGCGCACGUAGGCGGCUUUGUAAGUUAGAGGUGAAAGCCCGGAGCUCAACUCCGGAAUUGCCUUUAAGACUGCAUCGCUCGAAUCAUGGAGAGGUGAGUGGAAUUCCGAGUGUAGAGGUGAAAUUCGUAGAUAUUCGGAAGAACACCAGUGGCGAAGGCGGCUCGCUGGACAUGUAUUGACGCUGAGGUGCGAAAGCGUGGGGAGCAAACAGG
rnacentral:rRNA from 1 species